AUGCACAUAACACUGGGUCUUUGGUGUUCCAUUGCACUUGAACCUUCAACAGAUAAUCUCAGUUUCGUCACUGCCACAGCGACAGAGCACAUAAAUGAUGGAGAGAACGCCCUCAGAGAGAGAGAGAGAGAAAGGGAGAGGGACAGAGACAGAGACAUGUCAGAAACAGUGUUACCAAUGCCACGGGCUGGACCCAGCUUUGGUCCCCCACCCCCCACUAACCCCAUCAGGGCAGGAGUAGUCCCAUCCCAUCCCAUCCCAUCCCAUCCCAUCCGGGUAGGAGCAGUCCUUGCCUUUAAACUGCACAGGUCCUGCUGGACAGGCCAGCUCCUUCAUGGUCACUUAAAACCACUAGAACAGCUUGAGUCCUGCUGAGCGCGCUCAGAUGCUGCUGUAGCGGGUCUGGUCGCAGGAGAGAGCCAUUGCUUGGGUAAACAAUGAUUAAUGAGAGCAGUCAGUCACAAGUUCCUCAGGGCUCCUCUCCUGUUCCCCUCACAGACACAGACACGGACACGUCACCCCAACAUCAGGUUCCUCCACCCCUCACCCACUCCAUCACCACAUCCCAGCGAACGGACCAGCAAACACUCCCCAAAAUCAGACCAGUGUCCCCGCCUGUUUCUGUCCAUGCUGGCUAAAGCCCAGACCAGUGUCCAGCUGCUCCUGCCCAAGCUGGCACAGAUGCCCACCUGCUCCUGCCCAUGCUGGCACAGAUGCCCACCUGGGUAAAGUCACUGAUGAUUGGAGGGGGAGGGUGGCAGGAGAGAAGAGAAGAGCAUCAUGAUACUUAAGGCAGUCAGUCAUUUUCCCUCGCGUAAAAAAAAAAAAAAAAAAAAAGAUGCACUGAAGUGACUGUUGAAGGCAUUUCCAGAUAUGUCGUCACGGAAACAGUUAGGUGACAGAUCCUGACACUUCCUCACAGUCAGUGUCUGAGAGGAGGUGGUGGCGGGGCGCAGAGACAACCUUGUGAUAGAUGAACCAGAUUAAGUUUUAAAGUAGAAAACUUCUUUAGGGACAAAAAAAACAACAUAAACAAUACUCAGUGAUGGAGCAUUCAAGAUUUCUUCCCAUCCAAAGUAAAUCAGGGGUGAUCUCAGCUGUGAUCCCUUCUUUUUUUUCUUUUCUUUUUUUUUUUUUUUUACAAUCGGAUAUUUUUGUACAAGUAAAACAAACAAAAGCUGAAAACCAAGACAUCUGCAUUGGUGAAGAGCUAAGAUCAGAAUGAGAACACCACUGCUCACACACACACACACACACACAGGCACCUACACUGGCUGAACCAUCUGCGAGUCUCCGAAAGACAAACAUGCAAACCACUACACACUUGCUCUAGCUUAAAGAACACACACACACACACACACACACACACUCACAC
rnacentral:lncRNA from 1 species